AGGUUGAUCUCUCCAGUUUCUUCUGUGUCCUAAAAGGCUUUAUAAUUAAAACAAGUGGGAGAAGUUUGGUGCAUUGUGACAUUUUAAGUGAAUUGGAACUGAACUGCAGAUGUACUCUAAAGCCCUUGUAACAGAUACGGCCCACAUAAGGGGGAUUCCCUGGACAUCAGGACUACUUUCCACUGCAGAAGCACAACCAAACACUGGCUGAAGCAUCCAUCCCACUACAGCUUUGGUCAUACCUACUUCUGUGUUUAGAGUACACUUCAUAUUGAUAAUCUCCAAAGUGACACAGGCUUGGAGUAGAAGGAGCAGCCAAGGUGUUCACAAAACCAUGUAUGAAAACUCCUGUGUCCUAUUAGCACUCUCUGAAUCCAUAUGUCUCUCUUUACACCCAGUAAACAUUGUGCCCUAAACUAUGGUAUUCUUACUGUUAUUGUUAUUUAUCAUGUAAAAUUUACAUUUUCGAGACUUGAAUGUGGGAAAAACAUCGUACUUUUCCCCUUAUUUUAAGAAAAUUAGACUUCAGGGUAAAUAUGCUAGACAAACUGUUGAAGAGUGGCACAGCUUAGAGGUAAAUGGAGUAAGAAUAUGUGGCUGAAACAAUUAUUGUUUCAGAAGUCCAGUCAUGAAGAAAUCCAUAAUUAUAGUUCUGUGUGAGACCAGUGCAUUUCCCUUCUGAUU